rnacentral:rRNA from 1 species
CGGUUUGUCGCGUCUGCUGUGAAAUCCCGAGGCUCAACCUCGGGCCUGCAGUGGGUACGGGCAGACUAGAGUGCGGUAGGGGAGAUUGGAAUUCCUGGUGUAGCGGUGGAAUGCGCAGAUAUCAGGAGGAACACCGAUGGCGAAGGCAGAUCUCUGGGCCGUAACUGACGCUGAGGAGCGAAAGGGUGGGGAGCAAACAGGCUUAGAUACCCUGGUAGUCCACCCCGUAAACGUUGGGAACUAGUUGUGGGGUCCAUUCCACGGAUUCCGUGACGCAGCUAACGCAUUAAGUUCCCCGCCUGGGGAGUACGGCCGCAAGGCUAAAACUCAAAGGAAUUGACGGGGACCCGCACAAAGCGGCGGAGCCAUGCGGAUUAAUUCGAUGCAACGCGAAGAACCUUACCAAGGCUUGACAUAUACGAGAACGGGCCAGAAAUGGUCAACUCUUUGGACACUCGUAAACAGGUGGUGCAUGGUUGUCAUCAGCUCGUGUCGUGAGAUGUUGGGUUAAGUCCCGCAACGAGCGCAACCCUCGUUCUAUGUUGCCAGCACGUAAUGGUGGGAACUCAUGGGAUACUGCAGGGGUCAACUCGGAGGAAGGUGGGGAUGACGUCAAAUCAUCAUGCCCCUUAUGUCUUGGGCUUCACGCAUGCUACAAUGGCCGGUACAAAGGGCUGCAAUACCGUGAGGUGGAGCGAAUCCCAAAAAGCCGGUCCCAGUUCGGAUUGAGG